rnacentral:rRNA from 1 species
UGUGUAGGCGGAAAAGUAAGCGUUUUGUGAAAUCCCCCGGCUUAACCGGGGAAUUGCUUAGCGAACUACUUUUCUUGAGGCAAGUAGGGGUGCAUGGAACUCUUGGUGGAGCGGUGGAAUGCGUAGAUAUUAAGAGGAACGCCAGUGGUGAAAACGGUGCACUGGGCUUGGCCUGACGCUGAGACACGAAAGCGUGGGUAGCGAACAGGAUUAGAUACCCUGGUAGUCC